rnacentral:rRNA from 1 species
UGUUGCAGUUAAAAAGCUCGUAUUGAAUUUCUGGCAUGGGCGACCGGUGCUUUCCCUGAAUGGGGAUUGAUUGUCUGUGUUGCCUUGGCCAUCUUUCUCAUGCUAUUUUUGGGAAGAAAUCUUUCACUGUAAUCAAAGCAAAGUGUUCCAAGCAGGUCGUAUGACCGGUAUGUUUAUUAUGGGAUGAUAAAAUAGGACUUGGGUGCUAUUUUGUUGGUUUGCACCCCUGAUUAAGGGUUAAUAGGAACAGUUGGGGGUAUUCGUAUUUAGGACCUAAAGGUGAAAUUCUUGAAUUUCCAAAAAACAAACUAAACCGAAGGCAUUUACCAACCAUGUUUUCAUUAAUCAAAAACAAAAGUCGGGGGAUCGAAAAUGAUUAAAUACCAUCGAAUUCUAAACCGUAAACAAUGCCAACUUG